UACACUCCUGCGGGAGGCAGCAGUGGGGAAUAUUGCACAAUGGGCGCAAGCCUGAUGCAGCCAUGCCGCGUGUAUGAAGAAGGCCUUCGGGUUGUAAAGUACUUUCAGCGGGGAGGAAGGCGAUAAGGUUAAUAACCUUGUUGAUUGACGUUACCCGCAGAAGAAGCACCGGCUAACUCCGUGCCAGCAGCCGCGGUAAUACGGAGGGUGCAAGCGUUAAUCGGAAUUACUGGGCGUAAAGCGCACGCAGGCGGUCUGUCAAGUCGGAUGUGAAAUCCCCGGGCUCAACCUGGGAACUGCAUUCGAAACUGGCAGGCUAGAGUCUUGUAGAGGGGGGUAGAAUUCCAGGUGUAGCGGUGAAAUGCGUAGAGAUCUGGAGGAAUACCGGUGGCGAAGGCGGCCCCCUGGACAAAGACUGACGCUCAGGUGCGAAAGCGUGGGGAGCAAACAGGAUUAGAAACCCUUGUAGUCCCA
rnacentral:rRNA from 1 species